rnacentral:lncRNA from 1 species
GCUGACUCUCUUUUCAGAUUCAGCCCAGUUGCACCCAAGUAAAAUAAACAGUCUUGUUGCUCACACAAAGCCUGUUGGUGGACUCUCUUCAUAUGGACUCAUGUGACAUUUGGUGCCGAAGACCUGAGACAGGAGGACUCCUUUGGGAGACCGGUCCCCUGUCCUCGCCCUCUCUCCAUGAGAUCCACCCAUGACCUCGGGUCCUCAGCCCAGCCGAAGGAACUUCUCACCAAUUUUAAAUCGGAGACAGAGGAGACACGUUUUGUCCAUGAACUCAAAAUUCUGCUGCUGGUCACAGACUCGGGAAGACAGUCUUCCCUUGGUGUCUAAUCACUGUGGGGAUGCAUGUCUGAUUAUUCACCCACAUUCCAGAGGUGUCUGACCACUGCAGGGACGCCUGCCUUGAUCCUUCACCUUGGUGGCAAGUACCACCUCCCCUGGAUGGGACGCAAAGCCAACAAGAAUGAAGAAGUGGCCAGGAAAUUAAAGCAAUGUGAACACCCUCUGGCCAGCCUGUUGGAGGGUGAGAGACCACAUGGAGGAGACAGAGCCCUGAUGUCCCAGCUGAGGACAUCCCAGAAAAGCCUAUUUCCAGACAACUGAGGACAGGUGAAUGAGUUCUUUGUAGAUGAACCAGAAUCCAGUCUAUCUACCUGCUGAGCACAGACAUGUGAGCAACCCCCCCAUCAAGGUCAACUGAGCCUGGCCCAGAUCAACAGAAUCACGAGAUGACCUAUGGACUCAGGAGCAAUCAUGAUGUGGUUGUUCCAUGACACUGAAUGUAGAGGUCGUUGAUUCUGCAGCACCAGCAAACUGACACAUAACACCGUGUUUAAUAUUGGGUUCUGGGCUUUGGGGUCCCUGCAGAGUUCCUGAUUUCAGCCCCAAGGGCUCAUUCACAAAUUUAUUACUCAGAUUCUACCCUGUCAACCCAGGACGUGUUACUUACACAUUUCCCAGUGUGGGCAGCAAGCCACCCAGGUGCCGAGGCAAGAGACCGAGGGCACAAGCUGUUCCAGUAUAAUAAAGAAAACAUAUAAAAUAAGAAUAGU